GCGACGCUCACCUGGGAAGAAGGCGGAUCUAGGCCGAGCGGGGCCGUGGUCCCGUCCUCGCUUUUCCCUGGGCUCAAGAAUGCCUGGAGGAGAGGCCUGGGGGCCGCGGGUGAGAGCAAGGGUUGUAGCACCUUCGAGAGUGUGGGGCGGAUUCAGCCCACAGUAAAGACAGAGAAAAAGAGAAAACAACAACAAAAAUGAAGCAAGAGUAAACUGCCAACUCCAACUGCCUUUCUGGAAGGCCUAAUUUGAAGAUGUCUGAAAUUCUGUAUCACUGGCUCCCAGACAUAUCAUGUUUAUUUGUACAUCACACCUUUGCCCACCUCUGCUCAGUGGACCUCCAGCCUAAAAUGCCUCCCUUGUUCCUCUGUCUCACUUCAGCUGUUAUUGAAGUCUCCUGGUACAAUGUGACAUUUCCAGCGUCUUGUUUUCCAAUCAGAUCAGUGGCUCUCAGUGGACCAACUGAUAAGGAACAUUUGGAAAAUGUUACGAUGAUUGAGGGCUGUACUGGUAUUUGGUGGGCAGGGAAUGACAAUGUCCUGUGAUGUAUCCAUCAUAAUGGAAAAUUAUCUGAUGUCUUGGGCAAAUAACAGCAGUCCUGCCAGACAAAAUGAAGGUGAAAAAUUCAUUUAUAAUUGCCUAAGUUCAGAGCUUCUCUCUGUUUUACAUACAAGUACAAGAAAUGUUUGGCACAGUUUUAAUGUAUACUGAAUUAUAGGAAUCCAAUUACAAUAUAUUUUGCUUAACAUAG
rnacentral:lncRNA from 10 species